UACGUAGGGCGCAAGCGUUAUCCGGAAUUACUGGGCGUAAAGAGCUCGUAGGCGGUUUGUCGCGUCUGCCGUGAAAGUCCGGGGCUCAACUCCGGAUCUGCGGUGGGUACGGGCAGACUAGAGUGAUGUAGGGGAGACUGGAAUUCCUGGUGUAGCGGUGAAAUGCGCAGAUAUCAGGAGGAACACCGAUGGCGAAGGCAGGUCUCUGGGCAUUAACUGACGCUGAGGAGCGAAAGCGUGGGGAGCGAACAGG
rnacentral:rRNA from 1 species